GAGGAAAAGAAAGCAACAGGGAUUGCCUCAGUAACGGCGAGUGAAGCGGCACCAGCUCAAAUUUGAAAUCUGGCUCUUUCAGGGUCCGAGUUGUAAUUUGUAGAAGAUGCUUNGGGUGUAGCUCCGGUCUAAGUUCCUUGGAACAGGACGUCAUAGAGGGUGAGAAUCCCGUAUGUGACUGGGUGCUUUCGCUCGUGUAAAGCUCUUUNGNCGAGUCGAGUUGUUUGGGAAUGCAGCUCAAAAUGGGUGGUAAAUUUCAUCUCAAGCUAAAUAUUGUCCAGAGACCGAUAGCGCGCAAGUAGAGUGAUCGAAAGAUGAAAAGCACUUUGGAAAGAGAGUUAAUCAGUACGUGAAAUUGUUGAAAGGGAAGCGCUUGCAACCAGACUUGCGCGCUGUUGAUCAUCCGAGCUUUUGCCCGGUGCACUCGACAGCGUUCAGGCCAGCAUCGGUUUUGGUGGGCGGAUAAAGGCCUUGGGAAUGUAGCUUCUUUCGGGGAGUGUUAUACCCCUCGUUGCAAUGCACCCCACCGGGACCGAGGACCGCUUUUCGGCUAGGAUGCUGGCGUAAUGGCCGUAAGCGACC
rnacentral:rRNA from 1 species